GGAAAUUACAGGGAUUGAUUUUCAGAAUGAAAUGCAGUCUUAGAUGAUCUAUUGUGGAUAAAAAGAAACCAAGCACAUUUUUCCUGUCAGUUCUCUAAUUAUUCUAAUUGGAAAGGGAAGAGGCCAUUGUGAAGGAUAACAUAAACACCUGAGAGUGCACUUAAACACAAGUAGCACUGAAAAAAUGACAACUCCUUCUCAAGUGUACACUUGUUCUGUGACUUGAAGUUAGCCUUGAAAUUUGCAUAGCAAAAGGCUCAGCCUGAGUGGAGCACCAGAGUGGAAUACAUUUAAUUAAAGACAACAGCAAAGAAAGGUAUUGAUGACAAAAUCCUCUUUAAGGAACAGUGAAUCUUGCAAGUGAUUAUUAUUUCCAGAAGCUGCGAGAACAAAGGACUGAAAGUUCAAGCAGAGGUUGAAGUUUUUGCAUAUCAACAAUGGUGUGGGUCCCCUACUAAUAUUGCAGAGGGGAAAUUCCAGUUUUAGAAACUGUCCAGCAAGGCCAAGACACUGUGAACAAAGCCAUGCAGUUAUCACUGGCCUCUACCUGGACGAGGUUUCCCUAGAGAAGCAUUACCUGCACUGCAGUGGGUGUUUGUUUCUCUGCCUGGAUUGCUCCUCGACCCUUCAGCUCAUUUACACCAGACCCUUUCUGACCUCACCUCUGCGUGGUCAGCCAGGAAGCCUUCUGGGAUGUGAGGCAGGAGACAUUCUGGAGAAAUGCUGCUGAGAAUUUCUGCAAGUGACAUAUUUUAAAUAUGUGCUAAAUUCACUGGACAUUUGUGUUUGUAUGUAUGUAUUUUAUUUUCAUAUAAUGUACCAUAUGUCUCUGCCCAAGGGUACAGGUGCUUCUUUGGCUGCUCUUGCUCCAAAGCUGCCUCUUUGAUAUGGGCAGUUUGCACAGGGAUUAAAUGUGCAGGCUUGCGAAAUAUUUGAAAAAAUGACCAAAAGGAUGCAUUUAUAGCUAAAAAAAUAAAAGAAUGAAAGAAGUUAUAAAAUGUAUUGUA
rnacentral:lncRNA from 1 species